CGAAGCUCUUUGGUGUGUACUGUUGGAAGUUUUGUUUGUUUACAACCGAAGAAAAACAUUCUCACAAACAUGCCGACUUAUGAAAUGCCAUUAUUAAUUAAAACACUUAGUCGGCCAGAAACAUUUGUUGUGCUGAAACGUGCAAGUCAAACUAUAUUUGAUAAAGGUGGUGUCAUACGAAAGAUUGAAAAUCUUGGGACACGCCAGUUACCUUUCAAAAUUAGAAAGCAUGGUCUUGUUGAGAAAAAAGCCAGUUACUUUUUGAUUGAAUUUGACACUUCACCAAAAACAAUAGACUACUUGAUUGAUGAAUUUCACAGAGAUGUAGAUGUCCUGCGUUCCAGGAUUUACAGGUCACAUGAAAAAGAAGAGUUUGAGUGCACAUUUGAAGAGGAGUGCCUGCCUGCAGCAUACAGGAAAGAUGUUCAGAAGUUGUUAGAAAUAGCAAAAAAAGAUGCAAAACCAAAGUUCAACCCAAAUACAUCUCUGGAUUACUAUCCAUUCAACAAGUAGUCAUGACAGUUGGUGACUGGCUGCCCUUCCUGAUCCCACAACUCUCCUGGGUAUGGAAUGGGUGCACCUCCAUCUGUCUGCUUCUAGAGGGAGAAACAUGAGAAUUUAGCAGCAGUUCUGUGAUAUAUUUCCACUGUUUUGUCAUUGGACAUCAACUUUUAAGAAAAAGAAAAAAAAUGUAAUUCCCAAAAAUAUUAGUGGUUUGGACAAUGCUCACAUUGUAAAGUGUUAGCUGUAGUGGAUUAACCACAUUUAGAAGUCAUCAACUGAUAAUUUUUGUAAAAAAAACUGAUGUGCUUUCAGGCAAUGAAAUUACAUAUUGUCCAGUAUGUUAUUUUAUUUUCAUUUGUUAUUUAGGUAUAAUGGUAAUUAGAACUUGAGUUUGUUUGGCAGAGCCACCAUGACUUGAAAGUCAUGUAAUUUAUGUAACAUGCAGAAAUAGUGAGAAAUUUAAAAUUAAGUGUACGCUCAAAAUGUUCCAAAGAAAAACUGUCAUACUUAGAGCAGGAAAUACAAGAAAAGCUCUCAUUAAAACUUGUUUAUUAAU